rnacentral:rRNA from 1 species
GAAUUNCACCGACUAGCGUCGUCGUAAUGCAUCUAAUUGGGACGUUGUAUCAUGGNUCUCANACUUGAGACGCUCGGUCGGCACAGCUUUACACAUGCAAGUCGAACGGUAACAGGUCUUCGGAUGCUGACGAGUGGCGAACGGGUGAGUAAUACAUCAGAACGUGCCUAGUAGUGGGGGAUAACUACUCGAAAGAGUAGCUAAUACCGCAUGAGAUCUACGGAUGAAAGCAGGGGACCUUCGGGCCUUGUGCUACUAGAGCGGCUGAUGGCAGAUUAGGUAGUUGGUGGGGUAGAGGCUUACCAAGCCUGCGAUCUGUAGCUGGUCUGAGAGGACGACCAGCCACACUGGGACUGAGACACGGCCCAGACUCCUACGGGAGGCAGUAGUGGGGAAUUUUGGACAAUGGGCGAAAGCCUGAUCCAGCAAUGCCGCGUGCAGGAUGAAGGCCCUCGGGUUGUAAACUGCUUUUGUACGGAACGAAAAGCCUGGGGCUAAUAUCCCCGGGUCAUGACGGUACCGUAA